GGGGAGGACGCCUUGGUUUAAUCAAUGUGGCCCAUAUCCUCAGUAUUCUUCAAUCUGUUCUGGCUCGAUCGUUAAGGGCUCUGGAUUACCAUUCUGUAAAAGGUAAAUUGAGAUUGUAUGAGUUCACGAAAUCAAGAAAACCGAGAAUCAAUAGGAGGCAAUAACUUGACAAAAAAUAAUAAAAUGACGAGUACGUGAUUUGGAACCACCAUAACCCACCGGAGGGAGCUUUUGUGAACCAUUCGAUUCAAACUCAGGAUGAUGGCAGUGAGACCACAGCGGUGCCGAGAGGCCUUGGAAGAUAGACAUUAUCGUCUUCCCCCAUCAAUUUAAAGCCAGUAUCGAAGAGGUAAGGAUCGAGUUAGGGAUUUCGGUUCCCCCUGGUUGCAAGAGAAAGGGAGAAGAGGAACGCGAGAGAACACGACAUCUCACCAUCAUGCAAGCCAUCGAGUUGGCAUGAACCAGGAACCACCAUUGGAGCACGA
rnacentral:lncRNA from 1 species